rnacentral:sRNA from 1 species
AUUCACCAGGCUGAGAGUACGCGAGGGCGCAGCGGCGGCAAGGGGCUGGAACUGGGGUCGGGGCUGUUGGGCUCCUGCUCGGGGUGCCCCCUCUCUGGCCCGAUUUCCGGGCCCGCUCACCAUGGGGGACCCACUCAGUUGGGACGCCUCCACCUCGCUGCCCCCACAGGAACCCCAAGGUGGGCAGGGGGCUCCGGGGCACUGUCAGGGGUGGCCGGCCACAGGUUGCCAAGCCCGACCUCCCCAGACUCCAGAGCCAGGUGUACACCUGCCAGGUGAAGGUGAGAUUGAAGAUAACCAGCUCCCCACAUCCCCUGCAGAACAAGUGGAGCAGGGAUGGAGCCAGCAAACAGACCGCGAUGAUUCUGAAACGCUGUCCCAGCAGAGUGAAAGUGGAUCAGACACAAAAACUGACCCCUUUGAAAGUGCCUCUGACACAGAGUCCUUGUCUGGGGACCUCCCGAGGGGAGUCUUCCACUCUCUAAGAGGUACUCCCGUAGAUAUAGAAGCGCCUUGGGAAUACCCUGAUGUCUCAGCAACUGGAUCCCCUCAGGAGCAGCAUUUGACCAGUGUUCCUGGGCUUCAUGCAAAGGAAGAACUCGAUUUGUUCCCUGGCUUAAAGGAUGACUCUUGCAAAAAUGGGUGGCGAGCCUUUGCCACAGUUGCUGGAGAACAGGAGGCAGGACACCUCUGGGACUGUGCGACCAGCCUGGAGCGAGAGUCUUUGCUGGCAGGGGUUCCCCGACACACAGGGUGCUGCUUACAGAGGGCCACAGACAGCAGCGGUCCCGAGUCAGUACAGGGGGUGGCUGUUCAAGACCUCAGAGGGCUCUCCAGUGUUUCUCUUCAGAAAUCCAGGUCUGAGAGCUAUUUGGGCAUCCCAGUGAUCUGGCCCUUCCUUCUCUGGUGCUGUGAACUGGGUCGGAGUUGGCCACAUAUCCACAACAGGGCCAGGGCACCGGUGCUGCCUAGCAGAGGCCCACUGGACAACACAGCCCCUCUGGGGACCAGGACAAAGAAGGAAAGUACUGUAGGCCCUGCAGGGGACACAGAAUUGCUCUGGUCCCAGCCCCACUCGGAUGUCCCCUGCCGGCCUCCUUUGAGGACAUCUUGCCUCCUACGCACCAAGCGUCACCAUAGUGCCCCAGAAACUACUGGUGACAAGAACAGGGCAUCCCUCAGACUCAACUGUGGGCACAUGAGGGCACUGGUCAGGGCCCAUUCCAUAGCAGGGUUUUCCUCAGAGUGCCCCGAGGAUCCCGUGGGACAGAAUGUUGUGAAGUCUGGGACCCAUGUGAAGGAAGGGGCCGGAAAUGAACGAGAUCCGAGAACACAAAACACUCUUUCCCCUGCACGCACCCAGCUGUCUGGCCCGAUUCCUGCUUUUCAGAGUGGGGCUCCCUAUCUACAGGGUCCCUGCAAGCCCGGUGGGUUUCGCUUGCAAAGGGCCUCUCAGGACACUUCUGCAGGUCUCCUGGGGGAAAACCAGUUAAGACAGCAUUCCAGGUCAUGUCUGGUGGCUUCAUGCCUCACCUCAGAGUUAGUGAAGCUCAGUUCGGAGGAAGUGCCUGAGCCUGCUGAGUGCAAGUCGGAGCAAAGCCCAGAAAGCAGAACCCAGGAACCCCAAGGCACCCAACUCGCACCAAGAGCUGCUGAUGAGAGAGAGACACAGAAGCACCUCUGGGGCAUUUCUGUCCAGGCAGGAAACCAAACCAGUAAUUACACAUCAAAGUAUGUGCUCAGCGAGGAAAGCAAGUCACCUACCAGGGCCAAGUUCCCACGGCAGCCUAGCAGUGAGGGGACCCAGGUAUGGAGUGGAGACUUGAUGGGCUGCUCAGAAGUGAGUGACAGUUCAGAUGCCUCUGAGACCACCCAGAAAUCAAGCGCAAUAGACACUUCAAAGGCAGUGGAAAAAGCCAUGGUUCUAGACCCCAACUACAGGGAACAGGCUUUGCAAGGUCUUUCAGAAUUCAAGGCAGCCCCGGUGUCUCACUGCAGCCCUGGGGCUGAGGAGGGUGAACAGGGGCCUGGGGGUGCCGGGGGCCGGCAGCUGGAGCCCAAAGCAGGCAGCGAGGCCUCGAGGGGCAGGGGCGCCGUCGUCAUUGUAGCUGUGGAGCAGAAAGGUCUUCAGGCCGCCAGGAGCAAUGCGGGGCCUGUUCCAGAAACACUGCCCGGUGACUUUCCUGAGGAAAGACCGGAAUCUCCCCUGAGCACUGGCGAGACCCUCUGUGAGUCUCCCACUAGGGGGAAAACACCAGCCGGUAAUGAGUGUGAGUUGCCAGCAGCCCCCAUACAGGGAGCUGGCGAUGGGGCUCUUCAGCGGGUGGCCCAGGCCGCAGACCUUGGGAGAGUGCUGGUCCCCCGAGCUGCUUCGGAAGAGACGCCGAGCACAGAGGAGCCCCCGGCAGAGACACUGCGUGGGGAGAGCCGGAGUUCCGGGCCCGGGGAGCGCGGCCGGGAGGAGGCCCCGAAAGGCGGCGCUGCAGCAGCCCGGGGCCAGCGCCCCCGCGUCCCCUCCUCGGAGCCGCCCCAGCCGCCACGCGGGCUCCGCAAGGCCGCGCAGGAGCCUGGGAAGCGCCCGACGUUUUCCAAGGUGACCUCCUUCAGGAAGGACAGGCCCUUGGCCGCUGAGAGCCCAGGAGGGGUCCCGGCCCCGACCACGGAGGGUCGCAGCUGGGGCUCUUCAGGCCCCGAGGGGCUCCCCAGGGAGAAUCUGCCCGCUGCGGCCCGCUGGGACGCACCGCCUCUGCACCACGGGGACGCCAGCGCCUGGCCCGAGUUUGCCCGGCAGGCUGCAGGCGACAGGACUGCAGGGCCGGCAGGAGCGGGGCACAUGGGGACCUCAGGGGACCUUGGUAGCCGAGGGCCUUCCUCUGAGAGCUGCAACGCAAAGAGACUCAAAACAACGGAGAAAAAGCUCAGGGCAAGGUUGGCCUUGGCUCAUAAGACCUUUUCAAACUUUUUUGAGUCAAUAGUUUUAGAGAAAGAGAACACCCAUGAACGUUCCCCAGGUUCUCCCAAGGGCGAGAAGGAGAAGAGCAGGCUGCGCCAGGGUUCCUGGCGGGCGUUUCUGAAAAGCAAAGAUGCCGAAAGCCCCAAAAAGCCCGCCCUAGUGAGUCCGCCGCUAGGACCCGAAAUUCUUUCCCCGGCAGAGACCGACAGCCACUGUGAGGAAUGGGCGGAGGACAAAGAGGGCUAUGUUUUUAGCGAUCACUGGGCACCCCCACUUGCCUCCACAGCUUUGUCCUCCAGUUUAGUUUCUCCAGAACACAGGAGGAAAAGUGAACCGACCAUCAAGUGCACAGCCGCCCAGGAUGGCGGUAGGUACCUACCUUCAGGUAUCUUUCCUGAAAAGUCCUGGCUGGCGUCCCCUGGCAGCCCUCGGGCCCAGCAGGCUGGAAUCGCACACACCCUGCCUUCCAGCUCUGCCUGCUGCCUGGCAUAUGAAAACCCCGGGACGCCCUGCAGACCCACGAGCCCCAAGCCCCUGAGUCCCAGGCCUAGUGCUCUGCGGACGGGUCUCCACUACCCCGGGAGGGGUAGCGCCAUCUCCAUGGUUUCUCUUGGAAGCUACAGCUACGUGGACAGCAGUUCAGGGGACCCUGAAAGACCCAAGAUUCCCAAGGGCCGGACCAGUCUCCUGCUUUCUCUGCAGACGCUAAACCAGGAUGAGCAGAAGGAAGAGAGCAGGGAAGGAGGCCAGGGUCCGCGCGGCUUGGGCACAGUGCCCUGGCUCAGGGACCUUCCUGGGAGUGAGAACCACAUGCCCUGGGAAGAACCAGCGGGUGAGAAGCCCAGUUGCUCUCACAGUCAGAAGGCUUUCCACAUGGAGCCUGCCCAGAAGCCCUGCUUCACCACUGAGAUGGUGACAUGGGCCCUCCUCUGCGUCUCUGCAGAGACUGUGUGCGGGGAGGCUCCUUCACAGCCUAGGGGCAUCCCUCACCGCUCACCCAUCAGUGUGGAUGACCUGUGGCUGGAGAAGACACAGAGAAAGAAGUUGCAGAAGCAGGCCCACGUCGAAAGGAGGCUGCACAUAGGGGCAGUGCACAAAGAUGGAGUCAAGUGCUGGAGAAAGACGAUCAUUGCCUCUCCAGAGUCUUUGAAUCUCCCUAGAAGAAGCCAUCCACUCUCCCAGAGUGCUCCAACGGGACUGAACCACAUGGGCUGGCCAGAGCACACACCAGGCACUGGUGAGUUACACGGCUCUCUCUUUUGCUAUGUACUCUGGAUCCUGGCAUGAAGGACAAGAAGCAAGUGCUAUUGGCAGCUGUAUCCACUUGCCUGGCAGAAGUAGCUUGAAGGUGAGAGAGAUAAACAAUUGUCCUCUUCCUUCAGUUAGAGAGGAGUGCCUACUACCCAAAGAAAGGGAAUUAUUGACCGGGCACAGUGGCUCAUGCCUGUAAUCCCAGCACUUUGGAAGGCUGAAGCAGGUGGAUCACUUGAGGUCAGGAGCUCAAGACCAGCCUGGGCAACAUGGUGAAACCCCAUCUCUACUAAAAAUACAGGCCGGGUGCGGUGGCUCACGCUAUAAUCCCAGCACUUUGGGAGGCUGAGGUGGGCGGAUCAUCUGAGGUCGGGAGUUCGAGACCAGCCUGACCAGCAUGGAGAAACCCCAUCUCUACUAAAAAUACAAAAUUAGCUGGGUGUGGUGGCGCAUGCCUGUAAUCUCAGCUACUCGGGAGGCUGAGGCAGGAGAAUCGCUUGAACCUGGGAGUCAGAGGUUGUGGUGAGCCGAGAUCACGCCAUUGCACUCCAGCCUGGGCAACAAGAGCAAAACUCCGUCUC